AUUUGUCUUCUAACCUACAAUAAUUGAAAUAGUUUGAGAACAAAUAUUUUAAGGAAUAAAAAUGAAAUUAACUCAAAUUUUAUUCCGUCGGAAUCGUCUACCAAAUGGUCAUAUUUUUCGAGGAAAAGACCGUUUGGUUAAAAAAGUUGAGCCAAAACAUCUUCGUGCUUUAAACACUGAUUUUGCAGUUGAAGAGCAGAAUAUGUUUUAUUUACGUCAUCCAUACCUGACCGAGGCCGAAAGUCACGGACACUCAAAAGCUCUAGGCAAACAAGAACAAAGGAAAAAAUCAUUUGAAAAUAUCACAAAAAGAAUCUUUAAAGAGGAUGUAACUCUUUAUGAACGACUAAAACAUCUAAGGGUUAAAGAAAGCUGGGACAAUUAAUAUAUAACAAAAACAAAAUAAAAGUGCUUGGUUAGAUUAAAAUGUUAGAUUACAUAAGUUAAUAAACCAUUGUAGUUAA